rnacentral:rRNA from 1 species
AGUGAACGCUGGCGGUAGGCCUAACACAUGCAAGUCGAACGGCAGCACAGUAAGAGCUUGCUCUUACGGGUGGCGAGUGGCGGACGGGUGAGGAAUACAUCGGAAUCUACUUUUUCGUGGGGGAUAACGUAGGGAAACUUACGCUAAUACCGCAUACGACCUACGGGUGAAAGCAGGGGAUCUUCGGACCUUGCGCGAUUGAAUGAGCCGAUGUCGGAUUAGCUAGUUGGCGGGGUAAAGGCCCACCAAGGCGACGAUCCGUAGCUGGUCUGAGAGGAUGAUCAGCCACACUGGAAAUGAGACACGGUCCAGACUCCUACGGGAGGCAGAAGUGGGGAAGAUUGGACAAUGGGAGCAAGACUGAUCCAGCUAUACCGCGUGGGUGAAGAAGGCAUUCGGGUUGUAAAGCCCUUUUGUUGGGAAAGAAAAGCAGAAGGUGAAUAACCCGCUGUUAUGACGGUACACAAAGAAUAAGCACCGGCUAACUUCGUG